rnacentral:lncRNA from 1 species
ACUUGUUGGUGACUUGUUGGUGACUAGUUGGUGACUUGUGAUCCUGUUGGUGACUCGGUUCUACAGAUUGGGUCUCAGAUGAUUUUUGGGUCUCAGAUGACUUUUGUGGUUCCGAGUUCAAGCCGAAGCUUUGAUCCUGUGCUCCGAGAUACACAGCCAGCUAGUCUUGUUUGCAUCAUUUGCAUCAUAACAUGUUUAUUUUCAAAAAAAUAAUUCAAUGAAAAAAAAUGAAAAAAAAUUGAAAAAAGAGAAAAAAAGAAAAGGAAAAA